rnacentral:rRNA from 1 species
UACGGAGGGUGCGAGCGUUGUCCGGAAUCACUGGGCGUAAAGGGCGCGUAGGCGGCGCGGUAAGCGUGCGGUGAGAGCCCGGGGCUCAACCCCGGGUCGGCCGUGCGGACUGCCGGGCUCGAGCACUGUAGAGGCGGGUGGAAUUCCGGGUGUAGCGGUGGAAUGCGCAGAUAUCAGGAGGAACACCAAUAGCGAAGGCAGCUCGCUGGGACGUUACUGACACUGGAGGCGCGAAAAGCGUGGGGAGCGAACAGG